GAUGAACGCUAGCUACAGGCUUAACACAUGCAAGUCGAGGGGAAACGGCAUCGAAAGCUUGCUUUUGAUGGGCGUCGACCGGCGCACGGGUGAGUAACGCGUAUCCAACCUGCCCAUCACUUGGGAAUAACCUUGCGAAAGUAAGACUAAUGCCCAAUGACAUCCCACGAAGGCAUCCGAAUGGGAUUAAAGAUUUAUCGGUGAUGGAUGGGGAUGCGUCUGAUUAGCUUGUUGGCGGGGUGACGGCCCACCAAGGCAACGAUCAGUAGGGGUUCUGAGAGGAAGGUCCCCCACAUUGGAACUGAGAAACGGUCCAAACUCCUACGGGAGGCAGCAGUGAGGAAUAUUGGUCAAUGGGCGAGAGCCUGAACCAGCCAAGUAGCGUGCAGGAUGACGGCGCUAUGGGUUGUAAACUGCUUUUAGAAGGGAAUAAAGUGGGUCACGUGUGACUUUUUGCAUGUACCUUAUGAAUAAGAACCGGCUAAUUCCGUG
rnacentral:rRNA from 1 species